CCCUUAGAUGUUCUGGGCCGCACGCGUGCUACACUGAACGGUUCAAUGGGUAAGGUAGUGCGAAAGCAUGACCUAAUCUCGAAAUCCGUUCGUGCUGGGGAUAGAAGCUUGCAAUUAUCCUUCUUGAACGAGGAAUACCUUGUAGGCGUGAGUCAUCAUCUCACGCUGAAUACGUCCCUGCCCUUUGUACACACCGCCCGUCGCUCCUACCGAUUGAGUGUUCCGGUGAGGCUUUGGGAGAAUGGCCUCAACAUGAGUUUAUCGUGUUUUGCCGUUUGAACUUAGUCAAACCUUAUCACUUAGAGGAAGGAGAAGUCGUAACA
rnacentral:rRNA from 1 species